CCUUGUACACACCGCCCAUCAAGUCAUGGGAGUUGGGAGUACCCGAAGUCCGCUUAGCUAACCGCAAGGAGGCGGCGGCCGACGGUAAGCCCGAUGACUGGGACU
rnacentral:rRNA from 1 species